rnacentral:lncRNA from 1 species
GCGUCUCGCGUGCGUGUUGCUCUUGCUCCCGAUACGACAGUGCAAGUGAUCUAUUAUUAAAAAAGGUAAUUCGAUUCAAGUCAUAAGAUGACACCCCUUCAGCCACUCCGUUAUGUUUGCUUCUUAAGAAGGGAGGAGUUAGAUGUGCACAUAUUGCCCAGUAGUAUUUAAUCAGCGGCAACCUUCCAUAUAGCAGCAGCCAACAACAGAAUAUCCACCAGGCUGACAAAUUGUCAUGUAUCUGAUACUUCAAAAAUAAAGGUUAAAAACUGCACCCAGGAGUAAUACAAUAGGAUCCUUCAUGGAUAAUAUGACAAAAUGGGACAUCAGAGAUCAAAAUAAAUUAUGCAGUGAAUCUCAAUACACAACAGAGUUCAUCUUAUUUGUCUAGAGACUUUUUGACAGCUUCAAUAUCAAAACUUACUUUAAAUCUCACGCAAAUCUAAGAGAACAGCAGUUUCAAUAGUUUCAAUGCAAGAGCAAUUUUGGAAAAAUUCUAUACAAAUCUUGGACUCUAAGAAUUGUUCAAAGGCAAAUAGAAAAAUGGUAACUCCUGUAAAUUUUCCUUUUAAAUAUUGCUUAUUGCCUCUUUCAUUACUGAUUUGUUGAGUUAUUUAAUUUAUAAUAUUUACUAAGGAACAAGACUAGUGAAUUGAGUAGGGAGUAAUUCCUUAGUGAUUUACAAAAAAUUUCUUUCCUCUUUACAUUUACUAAAACCUUUUGCCACACCUGGUGUAAAUUCUACUUUUCAAACUUUGCUCUUCAUACAACAAAGUUUCUUGUUAAAUUAAGUUGUGAGUUUAUGAGUUUAUUAUACAUUAUGGAAUUUGGAAGAAUUUUUAUAAUUUAUUUAAUAUUUUAACAAGCAUGUAUAACUGUUAAUUUUGAAUGUAUA